GUGGGGAAUCUUAGACAAUGGGCGCAAGCCUGAUCUAGCCAUGCCGCGUGAGCGAUGAAGGCCUUAGGGUUGUAAAGCUCUUUCAGUGGGGAAGAUAAUGACUGUACCCACAGAAGAAGCCCCGGCUAACUCCGUGCCAGCAGCCGCGGUAAUACGGAGGGGGCUAGCGUUGUGCGGAAUUACUGGGCGUAAAGCGCACGUAGGCGGUCUGGAUAGUCAGGGGUGAAAUCCCGGGGCUCAACCCCGGAACUGCCUUUGAAACUCCCAGUCUUGAGGUCGAGAGAGGUGAGUGGAAAUCCGAGUGUAGAGGUGAAAUUCGUAGAUAUUCGGAGGAACACCAGUGGCGAAGGCGGCUCACUGGCUCGAUACUGACGCUGAGGUGCGAAAGCGUGGGGAGCAAAAGGGAUUAGAAACCCCUGUAGUCC
rnacentral:rRNA from 1 species